AGAGUUUGAUCCUGGCUCAGGACGAACGCUGGCGGCGUGCUUAACACAUGCAAGUCGAACGGUAAGGCCCUUCGGGGUACACGAGUGGCGAACGGGUGAGUAACACGUGGGUGAUCUGCCCUGCACUUUGGGAUAAGCCUGGGAAACUGGGUCUAAUACCGAAUACACCCUGCUGGUCGCAUGGCCUGGUGGGGGAAAGCUUUUGCGGUGUGGGAUGGGCCCGCGGCCUAUCAGCUUGUUGGUGGGGUGAUGGCCUACCAAGGCGACGACGGGUAGCCGGCCUGAGAGGGUGUCCGGCCACACUGGGACUGAGAUACGGCCCAGACUCCUACGGGAGGCAGCAGUGGGGAAUAUUGCACAAUGGGCGCAAGCCUGAUGCAGCGACGCCGCGUGAGGGAUGACGGCCUUCGGGUUGUAAACCUCUUUCAGUAGGGACGAAGCGUGAGUGACGGUACCUAUAGAAGAAGCACCGGCCAACUACGUGCCAGCAGCCGCGGUAAUACGUAGGGUGCGAGCGUUGUCCGGAAUUACUGGGCGUAAAGAGCUCGUAGGUGGUUUGUCGCGUUGUUCGUGAAAACUCACAGCUUAACUGUGGGCGUGCGGGCGAUACGGGCAGACUGGAGUACUGCAGGGGAGACUGGAAUUCCUGGUGUAGCGGUGGAAUGCGCAGAUAUCAGGAGGAACACCGGUGGCGAAGGCGGGUCUCUGGGCAGUAACUGACGCUGAGGAGCGAAAGCGUGGGGAGCGAACAGGAUUAGAUACCCUGGUAGUCCACGCCGUAAACGGUGGGUACUAGGUGUGGGUUUCCUUCCUUGGGAUCCGUGCCGUAGCUAACGCAUUAAGUACCCCGCCUGGGGAGUACGGCCGCAAGGCUAAAACUCAAAGGAAUUGACGGGGGCCCGCACAAGCGGCGGAGCAUGUGGAUUAAUUCGAUGCAACGCGAAGAACCUUACCUGGGUUUGACAUGCACAGGACGCCGGCAGAGAUGUCGGUUCCCUUGUGGCCUGUGUGCAGGUGGUGCAUGGCUGUCGUCAGCUCGUGUCGUGAGAUGUUGGGUUAAGUCCCGCAACGAGCGCAACCCUUGUCUCAUGUUGCCAGCACGUUAUGGUGGGGACUCGUGAGAGACUGCCGGGGUCAACUCGGAGGAAGGUGGGGAUGACGUCAAGUCAUCAUGCCCCUUAUGUCCAGGGCUUCACACAUGCUACAAUGGCCGGUACAAAGGGCUGCGAUGCCGUGAGGUGGAGCGAAUCCUUUCAAAGCCGGUCUCAGUUCGGAUCGGGGUCUGCAACUCGACCCCGUGAAGUCGGAGUCGCUAGUAAUCGCAGAUCAGCAACGCUGCGGUGAAUACGUUCCCGGGCCUUGUACACACCGCCCGUCACGUCAUGAAAGUCGGUAACACCCGAAGCCGGUGGCCUAACCCCUUGUGGGAGGGAGCCGUCGAAGGUGGGAUCGGCGAUUGGGACGAAGUC
rnacentral:rRNA from 1 species